GAUGAAGAACGCAGCGAAAUGCGAUACGUAAUGUGAAUUGCAGAAUUCAGUGAAUCAUCGAGUCUUUGAACGCGCAUUGCGCCGCCUGGUAGUCCGGGGGGCAUGCCUGUCCGAGCGUCAUUGCUGCCCUCAAGCACGGCUUGUGUGUUGGGCCUCCGUCCUCCUCCCGGGGGACGGGCCCGAAAGGCAGCGGCGGCACCGCGUCCGGUCCUCGAGCGUAUGGGGCUUCGUCACCCGCUCUUGUAGGCCCGGCCGGCGCUUGCCGACACAUCAAUCUUUUUUCCAGGUUGACCUCGGAUCAGGUAGGGAUACCCGCUGAACUUAAGCAUAUCAAUAAGCGGAGGA
rnacentral:misc_RNA from 1 species